rnacentral:rRNA from 1 species
GACGAACGCUGGCGGCGUGCCUAAUACAUGCAAGUCGAACGCUUCCUACCGGUGCUUGCACCGGGAAAGAAGAGUGGCGGACGGGUGAGUAACACGUGGGUAACCUACCUACAAGCGGGGGAUAACAUUCGGAAACGGAUGCUAAUACCGCAUAGAUCUUUUUGUCUCCUGGCAGAAAGAAGAAAGACGGUUUCGGCUGUCACUUGUAGAUGGACCCGCGGCGCAUUAGUUAGUUGGUGAGGUAAUGGCUCACCAAGACGAUGAUGCGUAGCCGACCUGAGAGGGUGAUCGGCAACACUGGGACUGAGACACGGCCCAGACUCCUACGGGAGGCAGCAGUAGGGAAUCUUCCGCAAUGGACGAAAGUCUGACGGAGCAACGCCGCGUGAGUGAAGAAGGUUUUCGGAUCGUAAAACUCUGUUGUUAGAGAAGAACAAGGAUGAGAGUAACUGCUCGUCCCUUGACGGUAUCUAACCAGAAAGGGACGGCUAACUACGUGCCAGCCGCCGCAGUAA